GACGAACGCUGGCGGCGUGCUUAACACAUGCAAGUCGAACGAAGAGCGAUGGAAGCUUGCUUCUAUCAAUCUUAGUGGCGAACGGGUGAGUAACGCGUAAUCAACCUGCCCUUCAGAGGGGGACAACAGUUGGAAACGACUGCUAAUACCGCAUACGAUCUAAUCUCGGCAUCGAGGAUAGAUGAAAGGUGGCCUCUACAUGUAAGCUAUCACUGAAGGAGGGGAUUGCGUCUGAUUAGCUAGUUGGAGGGGUAACGGCCCACCAAGGCGAUGAUCAGUAGCCGGUCUGAGAGGAUGAACGGCCACAUUGGGACUGAGACACGGCCCAGACUCCUACGGGAGGCAGCAGUGGGGAAUCUUCCGCAAUGGACGAAAGUCUGACGGAGCAACGCCGCGUGAGUGAUGACGGCCUUCGGGUUGUAAAGCUCUGUUAAUCGGGGACGAAAAGG
rnacentral:rRNA from 1 species